rnacentral:rRNA from 1 species
AUACGGAGGAUGCAAGCGUUAUCCGGAUUUAUUGGGUUUAAAGGGUGCGUAGGCGGUUUGCUAAGCGGGAGGUGAAAUGCCGGCGCCCAACGUCGGAAGUGCCUCCCGAACUGGUGGACUGGAAUGACUCUGCCGUGGGAGGAAUGUGUAGUGUAGCGGUGAAAUGCUUAGAGAUUACACAGAACACCGAUUGCGAAGGCAUCUCACGAAGGGUUGAUUGACGCUGAGGCACGAAAGCGUGGGGAUCAAACAGGAUUAGAUACCCUGGUAGUCCACGCAGUAAACGAUGAUGGCUAACCGCUGGGCUUAUCAGUUCAGUGGCCAAGCGAAAGCGAUAAGCCAUCCACCUGGGGAGUACGACCGCAAGGUUGAAACUCAAAGGAAUUGACGGGG